rnacentral:lncRNA from 1 species
GUAGAAAGCCAAAGCAAAAGGGGAGGAGCGGUAUCGGGGAGUAAAGUAGCCACACGGUGUGUCUGUCCCACCAGGCAUUCGCUCGAAUCUAACCAACCGACGCUGAGCAGGGAUCGGAUAAAGACGCGUUCUGUGGCAUCUGCCAAAACUCCCGACCACUCCGCUCACAAUUGUCAACGGAGAGACAGUAGCCCGCAAACAGCGGACACCUGACAGGCAACAGAAGGGAUAAAGCAAGAGGCAACAUAAUACAUUUAGCCGUAAAAUGCAACAGUCUUUGUUGGAUUAAAACAUCAUUCAAAGAUAAGCGUCGUAUAGGCAGUGAAACAAGGACGAACGCCGGUGCUGAAGCUGAACUGCGACUAGGGAGAGUCCGUACGGGAGUUGCAGCGAUGAGACAAGACUGUAACUACUAUCAAUUGGAUACCACGAAAUUGGGG